GACAGAGGAUGCAAGCGUUAUCCGGAAUGAUUGGGCGUAAAGCGUCUGUAGGUGGCUUUUUAAGUCUGCCGUCAAAUCCCAGGGCUUAACCCUGGACAGGCGGUGGAAACUACCAAGCUGGAGUACGGUAGGGCAGAGGGAAUUUCCGGUGGAGCGGUGAAAUUCGUAGAUAUCGGGAGGAACACCGGUGGCGAAGGCGGCGACCUGGGUCGAGACUGACGCUGAGGCGCGAAAGCGUGGGAGCAAACAGG
rnacentral:rRNA from 1 species